rnacentral:lncRNA from 1 species
UUGGUUGGAGAAAAAUUGGUAACAUGUAAGCCAAUAAACCCAUGGGUACAUGAAGGACUAAAAGUGGAAAAGGAAAACGGUAAGCUUAACACUAUGUUUAAAGCCUACGGUUCGUUGAAUAUUGUGAGGAAUUAUGGUUGUUGAAAGGAUUUAUUUGCCUAAGCUAGUUGAAAAUUGUUAAGAUUGUAUGGCAUGUUGUUUGAAAGAAAUAAAAAAGGAAUAUUGUGGAUGGAGGAUUGAGAAACAAAGUAUUGAAAGUUAGAUAGAUAACGAUGCGUGUAAACUAGGAAAUAAUCGAGUGAAAGGAGAAUAAUUAUUGCUGCCAUAUAUCUGGAUUAUGUGUGGAAAUAUAAGAUGGAUUUGGGCGAAAAUUAUUUAGAAAGGUUGAAGUAGGCACGUGACAUCAUAAAUAAGUUGCCGGUGAUAUAAUCUAAGAAAUUUCGUAAGCAAUGGAUGUAAGUAAUUUUGGUAAAAAUGUAUUAAGAUGUGAGUUAAUUGAAGAUGGUUUCAUGAUAGGAUGAAAAUAUAAAUUUUAGUAAGGAUUAAUUGAUUAAAGUGCUGCCCGUAUACGUAUGUAAUUAAAUAUAUUGAGUCCGUAUUAUUGCUAAGAGGUGCAAGGAUAAAGUUAGAGAACUGUGAUGGCAUGCCGGAGUAAAUAACGAGCGACCGGCUAGUGAAAAUAGUUAGAGACACCUCUAAACAAAUAGCGACUUAAAAUCUCAUUGUUGCCAACUGAGUGAACUUGCAUUAAAAUGUCUUGGGAUAUACACGUUUAUGUUUGAUUGAAUCCUCUAAAAUGUUUUAUUGGUUUUUCUUCAAAAACUUGCAUGGGAACAAGCCCUUAUGAAAUGUUUUUAUGUUAUGAAAUGGAUAGUGUGAUGAAUUCAUAUGUUUCUGUAUAAUGAUAUAUAUAUAUAUAUAUAUACUAUGUCAUAAAUGGUACCAUUGUGUGACAAAUGCAACCGUGCAUGUGUGGAGUGGGCAAUGCACAUGCCGGUAAUGAUGCUGUCGUGAUAAUACAACCGUGCAUGUGCGGAGUGGGCAGUGCACAUGCUGGUAAUGAUGCUGUCAUGAUAAUUACAAUCGUGCAUGUAUAGAGUGGGUAGUGCACAUGCCGGUAAUGGUGAUGUAGUGAUAAUUAUAACCGUGCAUGUGCGAAGUGGGCAGUGCACAUGCCGGUAAUGAUGCUGUCAUGAUAAUUACAACCGUGCAUGUGCGGAGUGGGCAGUGCACAUGCUGGUGAUGAUGUACAUGAGCUAGAUGAGGUGUGGUGGUAUAUUAAUUGAUAUAUGCUUAAGCAUAUGUAUAUGCAAUAGAAAGAUUAUGAUUAUAAUAUGUGAUUAUAUGGCAUGAUAAAUCUUGAAAAUUUCCCAUUUACAUGUGAAUUGAUUUUAUUGCAACAAGAAAUUCUGUUUAUACUGCCUUGCUUGGAUGAUUGCUGAAAAUUUCCUCUCUUUCUGAUUUCCUGCUAAAUAUGGUUCCUUCAUUAUGAAAUGAUUUAAUAACCCGGGGUUGAUGGAAGGAUUUUAAUAAGAACUUGAACUAGGUUGCAUUGUUUUCGAACUUAAGUGCAUCAUGAUUUCUAAAUCAUUCCUUGUAAUUUCUUGUUCCCUUCCUAUGUUCACUCACUAAGUUUAUACUCAUGUUUUCAACUUCAUGUUUUCAGAUUCAGGGGUGGUUGAGACGUAGAUUGAGGUGUCCGCAUACUCUCAUCUUUUGGGCAGGUACUUUGACAUUCAGUAGUCAUAUCUCCCAUUCAGAGUUACUCCGCUAACAGUCAAGUUCUAAUUACGUGUAUAUGACUAUUUGUUGUGAAAUGUUGAGAUUCACUUGUCAAAUUAUAUGUAUGUAUAUAAUGGUUGAUGAUG